rnacentral:rRNA from 1 species
GACGAACGCUGGCGGCGUGCUUAACACAUGCAAGUCGAACGAAGAGCGAUGGAAGCUUGCUUCUAUCAAUCUUAGUGGCGAACGUGUGAGUAACGCGUAAUCAACCUGCCCUUCAGAGGGGGACAACAGUUGGAAACGACUUCUAAUACCGCAUACUAUCUAAUCUCGGCAUCGAGGAUAGAUGAAAGGUGGCCUCUACAUGUAAGCUAUCACUGAAGGAGGGGAUUGCGUCUGAUUAGCUAGUUGGAGGGGUAACGGCCCACCAAAGGGAUGCUCAGUAGCCGGUCUGAGAGGAUGAACGGCCACAUUGGGACUGAGACACGGCCCAGACUCCUACGGGAGGCAGCAGUGGGGAAUCUUCCGCAAUGGACGAAAGUCUGACGGAGCAACGCCGCGUGAGUGAUGACGGCCUUCGGGUUGUAAAGCUCUGUUAAUCGGGACGAAAGGCCUUCUUGCGAAUAGAGAGAAGGAUUGACGGUACCGGAAGAGAAAGCCACGGCUAACUACGUG